rnacentral:rRNA from 1 species
CAGCAGCCGCGGUAAUACGUAGGUGGCAAGCGUUGUCCGGAAUUAUUGGGCGUAAAGGGCUCGCAGACGGUUUCUUAAGUCUGAUGUGAAAGCCCCCGGCUCAACCGGGGAGGGUCAUUGGAAACUGGGAAACUUGAGUGCAGAAGAGGAGAGUGGAAUUCCACGUGUAGCGGUGAAAUGCGUAGAGAUGUGGAGGAACACCAGUGGCGAAGGCGACUCUCUGGUCUGUAACUGACGCUGAGGAGCGAAAGCGUGGGAAGCGAACAGGAUUAGAUACCCCUGUAGUCCCUGUCUCUUAUAC